rnacentral:RNase_P_RNA from 1 species
AAGUGCCACAGAAAACAUACCGCCCUGGGUUGUCUAACGGCAAUCCGGGGUAAGGGUGAAAAGGUGCGGUAAGAGCGCACCGCGUUCCCGGUAACGAGAGCGGCAGGGUAAACCCCACCCGGAGCAAGACCAAAUAGGGAUCCUAAGGCGCGGCCCGCGUUGGAUCCGGGUAGGUCGCUUGAGGCGUACGGUGACGUACGCCCCAGAUGAAUGGUUGUCCUAGACAGAACCCGGCUUAUAGGCCGACUCCAUUU